UACGGGGGGGGCAAGCGUUGUUCGGAAUUACUGGGCGUAAAGGGCGCGUAGGCGGCCUUCUAAGUCGGACGUGAAAUCCCUCGGCUUAACCGAGGAACUGCGUCCGAUACUGAAAGGCUUGAAUCCGGGAGAGGGAUGUGGAAUUCCAGGUGUAGCGGUGAAAUGCGUAGAGAUCUGGAGGAACACCGAUGGCGAAGGCAGCCUUCUGGGCCAACACUGACGCUCAUGCACGAAAGCGUGGGGAGCAAACAGG
rnacentral:rRNA from 1 species